rnacentral:lncRNA from 1 species
GUUUUUCAAGGAACAACUGCAAGAAAAGAAGAAUUCUGCAUGUGUCCAGUACAGACACAGCCAUUGCAGGCCUCACAACCUGGCACCCAGAUGCUUCUUACUUGUGUCUGCAGAGGUGGCAAGCCUUGCUCUGUAUUUUCAUUUCCUCCUCCAGAGAUUAAAAGAUAACCCCAGGAGACUCCCUCCAGCCCCUCCAGCACAUGCACCUCUGCACACUCAUGCUCAGCCUGAGGUCCCCAGUGCCAGGCGCCCUGCAGGUGAAGCACCUGCCUGGCUGAGGGGACCAGGCACAGAGCGUGGCUCUACGAAGCGCUACUAGUGACGUCCAGGUGCCAUUUAUACACCCCAGCGCCCUUCUCCUCACAUCUGCCCACAGCCGACACAGCCGUGCAGCAGGGCCGAGCACCCAUAUGCUGCCAGAGCAGGUGCAGAGCUGAGGCACUUGGAGGCCGCCCAAGAGGUGUCAGAGUGACUGGCAAUGAUGACAGGGGACGCUCUAUCUCUAAAUGUCCUCCUUGAACCUUCAGCACGAUGCAGAGGCCAUACCCAGGCUUCCUUCAGGGAAGGGGCCUGCCAGGCUUGAGAUGUGACCCCUGAGCUUCUCCAGAAGAGGGCCCCCCAUGAGUGCACUGUCCCCAAGUCACAGAAAGCCUGUGUUCAGCAAGGCUGGGAGCAACCUGUGCUGAGUACCUGAGAAGUUCUUCCAAUGUAGUGCUUGUCACCUUCUUUGCACUGCACAGUGGGGUGGCAGAGAACAGCUGUCAACCCUGAUGCUGCGUCACAGGUAAAGGGCAGCGUCUGCCAGGAACUGCAGGCACACACUGGAGAGAGCAGCCAUCUCUUCUUCCAGCCAGGUGGAGUGCGCGUGUCCGACUCACGUGCAGACCAGUCAUCAUGCUUCCGCAGACAGCCAAAAAAGCAGCCCUUUUAUCAAGCCCCAGUGUUCAGUGAUGAAGACCUCCAAAGCACGCUGCCCAGGACACAUACCUCUGGUCUGUGCAACGUGUGGCUCACCACACAGGCCACUGGGGGCCUCUUCCUGCACCUGAUCUACAGAGCCAUGGGUUUCCAAAGGCUGGAGACAGCACACAUCUUCCUACUUUGAAGGUGAGAUGUACCUCAACGUCAGGCUCACAACAUCACAGGGGGCCAAGGCACUGACACGGCAGUCAGAUUUGCUCACUCAAACCUGCCCACAGGCCACUCCCCCCCCUCCCAGAUUCAAGGCCCCACUCCGGUCCUCUUGUGCUCCAGCCAAUCCCCACCGGCACAGGCCCAGAUGGAGCAUAGGCAGUGAAAUCCACACACGGCACUGCCAUGGUCAGAC